UCCGGUUUGUCACCGGCAGUCACAUUAGAGUGCCCAACUAAAUGUAGCAACUAAUGACAAGGGUUGCGCUCGUUGCGGGACUUAACCCAACAUCUCACAACACGAGCUGACGACAGCCAUGCAGCACCUGUCACUCAUCCAGCCGAACCGAAGGAAACCAUCUCUGGAACCCGCGAUGAGGAUGUCAAACGCUGGUAAGGUUCUGCGCGUUGCUUCGAAUUAAACCACAUGCUCCACCGCUUGUGCAGGCCCCCGUCAAUUCCUUUGAGUUUCAGUCUUGCGACCGUACUCCCCAGGCGGCGAACUUAACGCGUUAGCUUCGACACUGAGAGCCUAAUUGCUCCCAACGUCCAGUUCGCAUCGUUUAGGGCGUGGACUAC
rnacentral:misc_RNA from 1 species